rnacentral:rRNA from 1 species
GACAGAGGGUGCAAACGUUGUUCGGAAUUACUGGGCGUAAAGCGCGUGUAGGCGGCUAAGUAAGUCGGGCGUGAAAUCCCACGGCUCAACCGUGGAAGUGCACUCGAAACUGCAUAGCUAGAGUCCUGGAGAGGAAGGUGGAAUGCUUGGUGUAGAGGUGAAAUUCGUAGAUAUCAAGCGGAACACCGGUGGCGAAGGCGGCCUUCUGGACAGUGACUGACGCUGAGACGCGAAAGCGUGGGGAGCGAACGGG